UUUUAGAGUUACUAUAGAAAUAUGUUUUAAUUAAUAAAAUAAUUACAAUACAUCUCAUUCGUUAUUUGAUCUAAAAUCUAAACAAAAACUAUAUUUUUCAUUAGAUUAACAAUAAAAUUAAUUAGUAAUAUACCAAAAAAAUUCUUCUUUCUUUUUUCAAAUAAAAGUUAUAGAAUUACUUAAACCCUAAACCCUAAACCCUAAAUCCUAAACCCCACCCUUUAACUC
rnacentral:lncRNA from 1 species